rnacentral:lncRNA from 1 species
AUUGCAGGAAGCUUUGGGAACGCACCUUACGUGGAGUGAGGAGCUUUUGCAGGCCAUCCAGGAAGUGUUUGCCAGGGAGCAGGAGAAUGCUGAGCUGCAGCCUAGACCUUACAGCUCAGACCUCGGAGACUAUAACUCCCUGGUCAAGAAGCUGGAGAAGGUUAUUCAAGAGCAGGGAGACCUGCAGAAGGUCCGGGAGCACGCGUGUCUGCCAGACAGGAGCAGCCUGCUAGCCGAGAUCCAGGCCCUGCGCGCUCAGCUCCGAAUGACACACCUACAGAACCAAGAGAAGCUGCAGCAGCUGUGUGCGGCCUUGACAAGCACAGAGGCCCGAGGGAGCCAGCGAGAGCACCAGCUACGCAGGCAAGUCGAGCUGUUGGCUUACAAAGUGGAGCAGGAAAAAUGCAUAGCAAAUGACUUACAGAAAACCUUGAGCAAAGAGCAGGAGGCAGCGAGUGACGUGCGCAAGCGUCUGAUGGUGGAGCAGGGUGCCGUCCAGGACCUCAAGUCCGAGCUGCACGCCUGUAAGCAGGAGAACACGAACCUGCUGGAGUCGCUGGACAAGGUGCAGCAGGAAGUCCUGCGGCUCAGAGCCGUGCUGGACGGGAAGGAGAACGAGCUGAAGGUCGUCCUGGAAGAGCUGGAGUGUGAGCGUGGAAAGGGGCAGGUCCUCCAGGCCCAGCAGGAGGAGCAGCAGCUGCGGCACCUGCAGAGGGAGGGCCAGAGCUCAAGGGCCCUGGAGGAGUUGAAAAUAUCCUUGGAGAAGCAGCUGGCUCAAAACAAUCAACUGUGUGUGGCUUUAAAACACGAGCGGGCGGCCAAGGACAACCUGCAGAAGGAGCUGCAGAUUGAGGCCUCGCGCUGCGAAGCGUUGCUGGCCCAGGAGAAAGGCCAGCUCUCCGAGCUGCGGAAGAGCCUAGAGGCCGAGCGGAGCCGCUCGCUGG